UACAGAGGAGCCAAGCGUUGUCCGGAUUGACUGGGCGUAAAGCGCACGCAGGCGGUUGCGCGCGUGGGGUGUGAAAUCUGGCCGCUUAACGGCCAGGCGCCAUCCCAUACGGCGCGACUGGAGUGAUGCAGAGGUCGAUGGAAUUGCCGGUGUAGUGGUGAAAUGCGUAGAGAUCGGCAGGAACACCCAGGGGGAAACCAGUCGACUGGGCAUCUACUG
rnacentral:rRNA from 1 species